rnacentral:rRNA from 1 species
CCUACGGGUGGCAGCAGUGAGGAAUAUUGGUCAAUGGGCUUACGCCUGAACCAGCCCAGUCGCGUGAGGGAAGACUGCCCUAUGGGUUGUAAACCUCUUUUGUCAGGGAGCAAUUUGCGCUACGUGUAGCGUUAUCUAUAGUACCUGAAGAAAAAGCAUCGGCUAACUACGUGCCAGCAGCCGCGGUAAUACGUAGGGGGCAAGCGUGAUCCGGAUUUACUGGGUGUAAAGGGAGCGUAGACGGCAGUGCAAUUCCGGAGUGAAAGCCCGGGGCCCAACCCCGGGACUGCGCUUGGAACUGCAUGGAUGGAGUACAGGAGGGGCAGGCGGAAUUCCUAGUGUAGCGGUGAAAUGCGGAGAUAUUAGGAGGAACACCGGUGGCGAAGGCGGCCUGCUGGACUGUGACUGACGUUGAGGCCCGAAGGCGUGGGGAGCAAACAGGAUUAGAGACCCCGGUAGUC